rnacentral:rRNA from 1 species
AAACGAUAAUUGGAAGCUUGCUUCCGAUAGGCGUCGACCGGCGCAACGGGUGAGUAACGCGUAUCCAACCUGCCCAUCAACUUGGGGGAUAAACCUUGCGAAAGUAAGACUAAUACCCAAUGAUAUCUCUAGAAGACAUCUGAAAGAGAUUAAAGAUUUAUCGGUGAUGGAUGGGGAUGCGUCUGAUUAGCUUGUUGGCGGGGUAACGGCCCACCAAGGCUACGAUCAGUAGGGGUUCUGAGAGGAAGGUCCCCACAUUGGAACUGAGACACGGUCCAAACUCC